rnacentral:rRNA from 1 species
AGUUGAUCCUGGCUUAGGAUGAACGCUAGCGGCAGGCUUAACACAUGCAAGUCGAGGGGCAGCGCGAGUAGCAAUACUUGGCGGCGACCGGCGCAAGGGUGCGUAACGCGUGAGCAACAUGCCCGUAUCAGGGGGAUAAUCCAGGGAAACUUGGUCUAAUACCCCAUAGUAAUUUUGUAAGGCAUCUUAUAAGAUUUAAAGCUUUGGUGGAUACGGAUUGGCUCGCGUGACAUUAGCUGGAUGGUAAGGUAACGGCUUACCAUGGCUAUGAUGUCUAGGGGUUCUGAGAGGAAGGUCCCCCACACUGGAACUGAGACACGGUCCAGACUCCUACGGGAGGCAGCAGUGAGGAAUAUUGGACAAUGGAUGGAAAUCUGAUCCAGCCAUGCCGCGUGAAAGGAAGAAGGUCCUAUGGAUUGUAAACUUCUUUUGUAUGGGAGCAAUAAGGCCUACGAGUAGGUUGAUGAGAGUACCAUACGAAUAAGCACCGGCUAACUCCGUGCCAGCCGCGGC